rnacentral:rRNA from 1 species
AUUGAACGCUGGCGGCAUGCCUUACACAUGCAAGUCGAACGGUAACAGGUCUUCGGAUGCUGACGAGUGGCGAACGGGUGAGUAAUACAUCGGAACGUGCCUAGUAGUGGGGGAUAACUACUCGAAAGAGUGGCUAAUACCGCAUGAGAUCUACGGAUGAAAGCAGGGGAUCGCAAGACCUUGUGCUACUAGAGCGGCCGAUGGCAGAUUAGGUAGUUGGUGGGAUAAAAGCUUACCAAGCCGACGAUCUGUAGCUGGUCUGAGAGGACGAUCAGCCACACUGGGACUGAGACACGGCCCAGACUCCUACGGGAGGCAGCAGUGGGGAAUUUUGGACAAUGGGCGAAAGCCUGAUCCAGCAAUGCCGCGUGCAGGAUGAAGGCCUUCGGGUUGUAAACUGCUUUUGUACGGAACGAAAAGCUUCGGGUUAAUACCCUGGAGUCAUGACGGUACCGUAAGAAUAAGCACCGGCUAACUACGUGCCAGCCGCCGCCGUAA